AGGAAUGUAUAGCAAUAGCUAGUUGCAUCAUUGUAAUGAGGAUGCAAUAUUGACUAUGUUGAAUAAAAUUCUAGGUAGAAUUAUGAUAAUGACAUUGUCUGCCUAUGUGUCUUGACCAAAUUACGUGCCAGCAGUCGCGGUAAUACGUAGAAGACUAGUGUUAUUCAUGUUUAAUCGGUUUAAAGGGUACCUAGACGGCAGAUCAAGCUUUCCGAGAAGAAAAAAAAGAGAAAAAAGGACUAAUUUGCUAGAGUUACUUACGAGGGGGUUUUAAAGUACUGCUGGUGUAGAGAUGAAAUUCUGUCAUACCUCUUUUCGAAAGAAAAAUGAUGGCACAGGUAUAGGCGAAGGCAUCCCCUUAUGUGAUAACUGACGUUGAAGGACGAAGG
rnacentral:rRNA from 1 species